GUGCCAGCAGCCGCGGUAAUACAGAGGUCUCAAGCGUUGUUCGGAUUCAUUGGGCGUAAAGGGUGCGUAGGCGGCGCGGUAAGUCGGGUGUGAAAUUUCGGAGCUUAACUCCGAAACUGCAUUCGAUACUGCCGUGCUUGAGGACUGGAGAGGAGACUGGAAUUCAUGGUGUGGCAGUGAAAUGCGUAGAGAUCAUGAGGAAGACCAGUGGCGAAGGCGGGUCUCUGGACAGUUCCUGACACUGAGGCACGAAGGCCAGGGGAGCAAACGGGAUUAGAAACCCUUGUAGUCC
rnacentral:rRNA from 1 species